rnacentral:rRNA from 1 species
GCUGAUGAAGAGCGUGGCAAGCUACGAAAUGCUCUGGCGAGGCGCAUGCAGCCUUUGAACCAGAGAUCCUUGAAUGAGACUUCUCAUUUUAACCCGAGAGGGUGAGGAACCUAGGGAACUGAAGCGUCUCAGUACCUAGAGGAAAAGAAAUCAAUUGAGAUUCCGUGAUUAUCAGCGAGAGAAAACGGAGUAGGGCAAACUGAAUCCCCUGCAGAAAUGUAGGCGGAGAUGUGGUGUUAUAAGACUUGCUUUUCAACCUAAUUUUACUGACUCAAAGUCUCCUGGAACGGAGUACCAUAGAGGGUGAUAGUCCCGUAGAGGAAGGUGAAAAGGAUAGCGAGUAUCUUGAGUAGAGUACAUUGGAAAUUGUGCUCGAAUUUGGGAGACAUCAACUUCCAACCCUAAAUACGUCUUGAGUCCGAUAGCAUACUAGUACCGUGAGGGAAAGUUGAAAAGAACUCGUGAUAGAGAGUUAAAAGAACCUGAAAUCUAAUGGUUAUAGAAAGGUGCGGCUUUAAGGAGUUGCACCGUGCGUUUCGAAUAACGCGCCGGGGAGUUUACUUCAGUGGCAAGGGUAAGUCUGUCAAGGACGUACCCGAAGGGAAACCAAAAGCUCGCAGCUUGCGAGGAGCGAGGUAUGAAAAUGCCUCAAGUCACUGGGGUAUUACCCGAAACCAGGCGAUCUAGCCUUGGGCAAGGUGAAGCCGAUUGUAUGAUUGGUGGAGGCCUGAAGAGGUGCUACGUGCAUGUGUUCUUAUGACCUGAGGCUAGGGGUGAAAGGCCAAUCGAGCCUGGUAAUAGCUGGUUCCUGCCGAAAUAGGCCUAAGUCUAGUCUCGGAGGAGAUAGUUGGAGAGGUAGAGCUACGGAUUUGAAGGCCCGGGGGAGAAAUUCCUCACUUUCUUGUCCAACUCCAAAUUUUUCAACAUCGUAGAUUCCGGGAAACGGGGAUACUGGGGUAAGCUUGUAUUCCGAGAGGGGAACAACCCUGAUUAUGGUUAAGGUCCUUAAAUGCCAAUUAAGUGUGAAAGGGUGAAAGGUGUUCAUGACCACAGACAGUGGGGAGGUUGGCUUAGAAGCAGCCAUCCUUUAAAGAAAGCGUAACAGCUCACCUAUCAAGGUCAUGUGCCCUGAAAAUGGACGGGACUAAAUUGGCUACCGAUACCAUAACCCUCCAUGCAAGAGCGUGGAAGGGAGUAGGCAGGUGAUCUGCUAGGGUAGAACCAUAGUCGUAAGACUCUGGGAACCUGGUAGAUUUAAGAAUCCCGGCAGUAGUAGGAUCAAUUUACAGUGAGAAUCUGUAGGGCCGGAAAGGUAAGGGUUUCUCAGCAAUGUCGGUCAACUGAGAGUUAGUUAGUCCUAACUGCAAUCCUAACAGGAGUUGCGGGAAAGGGAAAACGGUUAAUAUUCCGUUACUAUCCUUGUACGUGCGGCAACGCAAGAUUAUUUUCUGACGCUUCAGGAUAAGCCUACUGCCAUCAUCGUGGCAGUCAAUUGAAACAAGCCAACGGAGUACCGUAACGGUGAGAAGUUGGUUAAAGUCAAGAGGAGCAGGCCUUGAGUCUGUUAGGCCAAUAUCUGGAGCCCGUGAAAAGGGAAAUAAUAAGGAUCAAGGAUAUCUAUACCUAGAACCAGCACUGGUACCUAGGGUGAGAAGCCCAAGGCCCGAGGGAUUAAUCUAGGUUAGGGAAUUCGACAAAUUAGCCCCAUCUCUUCGGUAUAAGGGGUCCCUGCGCUUGUAUCUGCAUAGGUGCGAGUACAGGGUACAAUAACUAGGGGGACCCGACUGUUUAACAAAAACUUAACUAACUGCUAGCCAGAAAUGGUGUGUAUAGUUAGUGACGUCUGCCCAGUGCUAGUACUUUAAACUCUGUUUCAACGGAGCUAAGAGCUAGUAAACGGCGGGAAUAACUAUAAUUCUCUUAAGGUAGCGAAAUGCCUUGUCGUUUAAUUGACGACCUGCAUGAACGGCGUAACGAGGUCCCUAUUGUCCCAACCUAGAGUCCCCCGAACAUUACAUUCUGGUGCAAAGUCCAGAGACUUCCAGUGGGAAGCGAAGACCCCAUGGAACUUUACUGUAGCUUGUUGUUGCGAUGUGAGUUUGGUUGUGCAGUGUAGGUGGGAGUUGUUAAGUCUUAGCCGCCAGGUUAAGGAUAGACACAAAUGAGACACCACCCUUCCGAAUUUACAUCGCUCACUUCCGAAAGGAAGGACAUCAGUAGGUAGACAGUUUGGCUGGGGCGGCACCCAGGUGAAAAGAUAUCACUUGGGCCCAAAGGUAAGCUCAGCAGGUUCAGAAAUCCUGCGUAGAGUGCAAGAGCAAAAGCUUGCCUGACUGUGUUCUGAAUAGUAAGGAACGCAGCACCGAAAGGUUGGUCUAGCGAACCCCUGUGUCCCAAUUGAUGGGGGCCAGGUAUGACAGAAAAGCUAUCCUGGGGAUAACUGAGUCGUCGCGCCUAAGAGCUCAAAUCGACGGCGCGGCUUGCUACAUCGAUGUCGGCUCUUCCUAUCCUGGCUGUGCAGAAGCAGCCAAGGGUGGGGGUGUUCACCCAUUAAAAGGGAUCGUGAGCUGGGGUCAGAACGUUGUGAGACAGUUUGUUUAAUAUCUACUGGAAAUGUAAAAUGUCUGAGGGGAAGGACCUUUUAGUACGAGAGGAACAAAGGUUCGAUGCCUCUGGUUUACCGGUUAUCCGACAGGGUACGCCGGGCAGCUACGCAUUAAGGGAUAAGAGCUGAAAGCAUCUAAGCUCGAAACCCGCCCUAAAAAGAGACAUUUUGAUCUCCCAUAAAAGAUGGGUUUGAUAGAACAGGUGUGUAAGUG